AAUGCAGGACAGAGACUUUUCGCUCUUAAGCGGUAAUGGAAGAAACUACUGAAGAGACAGAGGGAUGAAAAGCAGAGAGAAAAAAGAGAUGGCAGAGCGAUCACACCAGAGAAACUGGAAACUCCCCCGCAUUUUCUACCAUGUGGCCUUAAGAUGGAGACCAGCUUGUUAUGACCAGCCUGUUUUUCUUAAGUGAGCAGAAGUCUUGCUCAGAUGGAAGAAUUGUGGAAAGAACUUGAAAGGAGUACUGACAUGAUGAUUAUGUGUGUAUGGAUUAUAAGGUUUUGAUCAUGGUUGAUGAAUUUGGAUAUUUUCAUGAGAUUUAAUAGCACCUGUUGUAAAGGCCAUAUCCACUUAAUUGACACAGAUGGCGAUGUGCUUGUAUCUUUUUGCAAGGGCCCUGCAAAAAGAUGAGAAACACUGCCUUAAAUUCUUAAAGCAAAUAAAGGACUGUGGGGAAAGGCCUAAUAGGAAACCUGAAGGCUUCCUAGGGCAUAUCUUUGUAUCAUAUUUAGAAAUUGGUAGUUCUUAAGCACAACAGACAGACUCAGCUCAUAGCUAAGGAGUGUGAUGAAAACAUCAAGAUUUCUGAGAACUAUAGAGUGAAUCCAGAACUACGGAAGUCUGAGGAAGAAUACUGGACAACUGAUACAUCUGCAAGUCUACAACAUCCACUGCCACACAGAGCCAAUGAAGACGUGGCACACCUGUACUCUCCUGUGACUGUGAUGUUUGUCUGGACUUUUGGGCUUUUGAACACAUGACUUACUGUCACUUGCAGAAAAAGCUUUUCAGACUGUUAGGUAAGCUUGAGUUGUUAGCUUGCCAAACUAAUGCUACUAAUGAAAGCUCUAACAGGUUUAUUCUCUUUCUGAUUUUAGCACUAUGGAUUUGUAGCUGUAUCGUUUACCCCUGUGUAAAGUUGAAGAUCAAGCCCAGGUUGCUCAAAAGAAAGAGAGGGAAAUGUUGGACAUGAAAUGAUAAACAUGAGCAACCCAUGUCCUUGAGUCCAUCUUGGGAAUUAAGAUACCAGGCCCUGGGCAGCACCCCCCACAUGCAGCUGCAGGGGGUGGAGUGCCAGCUGCAUGUGGGCAGAGUUAGCCAGCCCCAGAGGCUGACCCUCAGAUUGUUAUGGUAUAUUAACCUAUCCAUGCUUCACAUGUAACCCUGUACCCUCUAUAUGUAACCAAUCUUAGUGGAUCACGCCUCUUGCAAGAAAGCAUAUAACUCACUGUACAUGGAAAUAAAGUCGGACUAUGACCAUCUAA